GACGAACGCUGGCGGCGUGCUUAACACAUGCAAGUCGAACGGAAAGGCCCUGCUUUUGGGGGGUGCUCGAGUGGCGAACGGGUGAGUAACACGUGAGUAACCUGCCCUUGACUUUGGGAGAACUUCAGGAAACUGGGGCUAAUACCGGAUAGGAGCUCCUGCUGCAGGGUGGGGGUGGGAAAGUUUCGGCGGUUGGGGAUGGACUCGCGGCUUAUCAGCUUGUUGGUGGGGUAGUGGCUUACCAAGGCUUUGACGGGUAGCCGGCCUGAGAGGGUGACCGGCCACAUUGGGACUGAGAUACGGCCCAGCCUCCUACGGGAGGCAGCAGUGGGGAAUAUUGCACAAUGGGCUGAAGCCUGAUGCAGCACCGCCGCGUGCGGGAUGACGGCCUUCGGGUUGUAAACCGCUUUCGCCUGUGACGAAGCGUGAGUGACGGUAAUGGGUAAAGAAGCACCGGCUAACUACGUG
rnacentral:rRNA from 1 species